rnacentral:lncRNA from 1 species
CCCACAUUAAACACCUUUACAAAGGACUCGCUCGCUAUAAUCCAAAAAUAUACAGACAACCGCAUCUUCACCAGUCUAUCGAAGAAAGUGUCUUUUUUUUUUUUAUCAGCGGGUUGGAAAAAAUAAGAAGUCCUAAAGAAAAAAGGGGGAAAAAAAAGUCCUAAAAAGAAAGCCGGGAUUUGGGGAGCGCCGCUCCAAAAGUCGCAGCCGGGGCAGCUCCGGGUUGGGGUCAGCAGCCGCAUCUCUCCCGAUGUCGUCUGAGUAUUGGAGCCCCCGAGGUGAGGGGAGGUGGGUGCAGCCCCAUAGCACAGCACGGGGGGGUCCGCAGCCCCAUAGCACAGCACGAAGGGGGGGUCCGGGGGGGGCCGCAGCCGCCCGGCGCCGUGCAGGAAGCGGCUCGUUACCUCCGGCUGAUAACGAAUCGGGAACCGACGGUCGGUGCGUGUUUGCUAAUCGGCACUGAUGGAGGAGGCGUUAGUGACACAAACUUCUCUCGUCUUUGGAGCACAGCCCGGAGGCCAACUCAGCCGCCUUAAGGGACAGCAGGGUGGCCUCCGAGGAGGGGUCUCGCCCCUUGGCCCCCUCUUCCAGCACGAUCUGCAGGUCGAAGAUAUAAUCGAUGACGUGCUGGAGGAUCUCCACCUGGCUCAGCUUGGUGCCCUGCGGGAUGCCCGGCACCAACUCCCGCAAUUUGGAGUAGCAGUCGUUCAUAUCGUACAACAGAUUCAUGGGUUCCUCCAGCGCCGGGCUCUUGUUGUUGCUGCUGCGGGCGAUGGCCAAACUCUGCUCCGAGAGGCAGCAAACGGCCUCGUAACAGCUCCUGACCGACCGCACCGGGCUGAUGGCUUUCAUAAUGGUGGGGUGGGGGUGGUCGGGGUGGGGGGGGAUGCUGAGUCUGAGGGGGCUGAGCGUGGGACCGCCGAGAAUUGCUUCACCCCUCGAUGCUCCCCGUCCUUCGCUCCCGGCUCCUCCGACCCCUCGCGCUCCGAGCGCUCGGAUCUCACUGCCGCACUGGG